GUGGAUUAGAUACCCUGGUAGUCCACGCCCUAAACGAUGCGAACUGGAUGUUGGGCUCAACUUGGAGCUCAGUAUCGAAGCUAACGCGUUAAGUUCGCCGCCUGGGGAGUACGGUCGCAAGACUGAAACUCAAAGGAAUUGACGGGGGCCCGCACAAGCGGUGGAGUAUGUGGUUUAAUUCGAUGCAACGCGAAGAACCUUACCUGGCCUUGACAUGCACGGAAUCCUUUAGAGAUAGAGGAGUGCCUUCGGGAACCGUGACACAGGUGCUGCACGGUUGUCGACAACU
rnacentral:rRNA from 1 species